AAUGAAAGUGUUUGCUGUAAUGAGUUUUCUUCUAUUUGUUUUCUCUUAAAAUUUAUACUGCUUCCUCUUCCUGGCUUUUUCUCAGAGCUAUCACAGUAUAAUGUUUACUGCUAAAGAUGCAGAAUGACUACUUCAGGCUUAUUUCCUUAUGCCUUCCACCAAAGGGACUAAGGGCCAAAUGGAGUGGUCUCUUUGACAUCGAUACAAGUAGAAAAAGGCAUCCAGGAUGGAAAUCCAGUACACAACCAUUGCACCCUGCUCCUGUAUUCCCCCCUGGACCCAUGAUGUUCAUAUUCUACAGACUUCAUAAAGGUAGUGUUCUAGGACAGGACAUUGCAUGGGGUGGUUAAUCUAAUAUGCUUUACCAGAUACAUUCCCUCUGUUCCCUUUUUUUCUUUUUUUAAGAUUACUUCUGCACAACAACAGAGCAUUGUGCAUGAAGUCACAGGGAGACUUUGGCAUAUUAUAGCAUUGCUUAAUAAUUUUUGGGAAAUUGGUGCCAGGCCUGAAUUUGGCCCUUUGAUGGCAGAAGCAUUAUUCUUUAUUCUCCUGA
rnacentral:lncRNA from 1 species